rnacentral:rRNA from 1 species
UACGGAGGGUGCAAGCGUUAUCCGGAUUUACUGGGUUUAAAGGGUGCGUAGGUGGGUAGGAAAGUCAGUGGUGAAAUCUUCGGGCUUAACCCGGAAACUGCCAUUGAUACUAUUUAUCUUGAAUACUUUGGAGGUAAGCGGAAUAUGUCAUGUAGCGGUGAAAUGCUUAGAUAUGACAUAGAACACCAAUUGCGAAGGCAGCUCACUACACAGUUAUUGACACUGAGGCACGAAAGCGUGGGGAUCAAACAGG